CCUACGGGUGGCAGCAGUGGGGAAUAUUGGACAAUGGGCGAAAGCCUGAUCCAGCCAUGCCGCGUGUGUGAAGAAGGCCUUCGGGUUGUAAAGCACUUUCAGUGGGGAAGAAAGCCUUGGGGCUAAUACCCUCGAGGAAGGACAUCACCCACAGAAGAAGCACCGGCUAACUCCGUGCCAGCAGCCGCGGUAAUACGGAGGGUGCGGGCGUUAAUCGGAAUUACUGGGCGUAAAGCGCGCGUAGGCGGUCUGAUAAGCCGGUUGUGAAAGCCCCGGGCUCAACCUGGGAACGGCAUCCGGAACUGUCAGGCUAGAGUGCAGGAGAGGAAGGUAGAAUUCCCGGUGUAGCGGUGAAAUGCGUAGAGAUCGGGAGGAAUACCAGUGGCGAAGGCGGCCUUCUGGACUGACACUGACGCUGAGGUGCGAAAGCGUGGGUAGCAAACAGGAUUAGCUACCCGAGUAGUC
rnacentral:rRNA from 1 species